rnacentral:rRNA from 1 species
GCGAGUUACGAUUUGAUGCAAGGUUAAGCAGUAAAUGUGGAGCCGUAGCGAAAGCGAGUCUGAAUAGGGCGUUUAGUAUUUGGUCGUAGACCCGAAACCAGGUGAUCUACCCUUGGUCAGGUUGAAGUUCAGGUAACACUGAAUGGAGGACCGAACCGACUUACGUUGAAAAGUGAGCGGAUGAACUGAGGGUAGCGGAGAAAUUCCAAUCGAACCUGGAGAUAGCUGGUUCUCUCCGAAAUAGCUUUAGGGCUAGCCUCAAGUGAUGAUUAUUGGAGGUAGAGCACUGUUUGGACGAGGGGCCCCUCUCGGGUUACCGAAUUCAGACAAACUCCGAAUGCCAAUUAAUUUAACUUGGGAGUCAGAACAUGGGUGAUAAGGUCCGUGUUCGAAAGGGAAACAGCCCAGACCACCAGCUAAGGUCCCAAAAUAUAUGUUAAGUGGAAAAGGAUGUGGCGUUGCCCAGACAACUAGGAUGUUGGCUUAGAAGCAGCCAUCAUUUAAAGAGUGCGUAAUAGCUCACUAGUCGAGUGACACUGCGCCGAAAAUGUACCGGGGCUAAACAUAUUACCGAAGCUGUGGAUUGUCCUUUGGACAAUGGUAGGAGAGCGUUCUAAGGGCGUUGAAGCAUGAUCGUAAGGACAUGUGGAGCGCUUAGAAGUGAGAAUGCCGGUGUGAGUAGCGAAAGACGGGUGAGAAUCCCGUCCACCGAUUGACUAAGGUUUCCAGAGGAAGGCUCGUCCGCUCUGGGUUAGUCGGGUCCUAAGCUGAGGCCGACAGGCGUAGGCGAUGGAUAACAGGUUGAUAUUCCUGUACCACCUAUAAUCGUUUUAAUCGAUGGGGGGACGCAGUAGGAUAGGCGAAGCGUGCGAUUGGAUUGCACGUCUAAGCAGUAAGGCUGAGUAUUAGGCAAAUCCGGUACUCGUUAAGGCUGAGCUGUGAUGGGGAGAAGACAUUGAGUCUUCGAGUCGUUGAUUUCACACUGCCGAGAAAAGCCUCUAGAUAGAAAAUAGGUGCCCGUACCGCAAACCGACACAGGUAGUCAAGAUGAGAAUUCUAAGGUGAGCGAGCGAACUCUCGUUAAGGAACUCGGCAAAAUGACCCCGUAACUUCGGGAGAAGGGGUGCUCUUUAGGGUUAACGCCCAGAAGAGCCGCAGUGAAUAGGCCCAAGCGACUGUUUAUCAAAAACACAGGUCUCUGCUAAACCGUAAGGUGAUGUAUAGGGGCUGACGCCUGCCCGGUGCUGGAAGGUUAAGAGGAGUGGUUAGCUUCUGCGAAGCUACGAAUCGAAGCCCCAGUAAACGGCGGCCGUAACUAUAACGGUCCUAAGGUAGCGAAAUUCCUUGUCGGGUAAGUUCCGACCCGCACGAAAGGCGUAACGAUUUGGGCACUGUCUCAACGAGAGACUCGGUGAAAUCAUAGUACCUGUGAAGAUGCAGGUUACCCGCGACAGGACGGAAAGACCCCGUGGAGCUUUACUGUAGCCUGAUAUUGAAAUUCGGCACAGCUUGUACAGGAUAGGUAGGAGCCUUUGAAACGUGAGCGCUAGCUUACGUGGAGGCGCUGGUGGGAUACUACCCUAGCUGUGUUGGCUUUCUAACCCGCACCACUUAUCGUGGUGGGAGACAGUGUCAGGCGGGCAGUUUGACUGGGGCGGUCGCCUCCUAAAAGGUAACGGAGGCGCUCAAAGGUUCCCUCAGAAUGGUUGGAAAUCAUUCAUAGAGUGUAAAGGCAUAAGGGAGCUUGACUGCGAGACCUACAAGUCGAGCAGGGUCGAAAGACGGACUUAGUGAUCCGGUGGUUCCGCAUGGAAGGGCCAUCGCUCAACGGAUAAAAGCUACCCCGGGGAUAACAGGCUUAUCUCCCCCAAGAGUUCACAUCGACGGGGAGGUUUGGCACCUCGAUGUCGGCUCAUCGCAUCCUGGGGCUGUAGUCGGUCCCAAGGGUUGGGCUGUUCGCCCAUUAAAGCGGUACGCGAGCUGGGUUCAGAACGUCGUGAGACAGUUCGGUCCCUAUCCGUCGUGGGCGUAGGAAAUUUGAGAGGAGCUGUCCUUAGUACGAGAGGACCGGGAUGGACAUACCUCUGGUGUACCAGUUGUCGUGCCAACGGCAUAGCUGGGUAGCUAUGUGUGGACGGGAUAAGUGCUGAAAGCAUCUAAGCAUGAAGCCCCCCUCAAGAUGAGAUUUCCCAACUUCGGUUAUAAGAUCCCUCAAAGAUGAUGAGGUUAAUAGGUUCGAGGUGGAAGCAUGGUGACAUGUGGAGCUGACGAAUACUAAUCGAUCGAAGACUUAAUCAA